UCGGAGCUAUUGCAGUGUGUUGUGUAUGAUAGACACGUUCCUUCAAUUUGGUAGAACCCAUUAAUCCGCUGGGUUCAGGCAAUGUCUGUAAAGUGCCUUGACCAAGGACACAACUGACUAGCUAGCGACCAGUUUUCCUGAUAAGGAAAGGGUGAGAGGGGGAGCCGCGAGUGGUGCUUUAAAGCUGAUUAAAAUGGGUUCAAAAAGGAUCAGAGUAUGUCUUAUGAGACUGGUGAUCAUUAAAUAAACCUGCGGACUAAUGGAAUAGGACCUUGGUUCUAUUUUGUUGAUUUUCGGAGCGCGAGGUAAUCAUUAAGAGGGACAGACGGGGGCAUUCGUACUGCGCCGUUAGAGGUGAAAUUCUUGGAUCGGCGCAAAUUGAACGACUACGAAAGCAUUUGCCAAGAAUGUUUUCUUUAAUCAAGA
rfam:Ciona savignyi cont_62345, whole genome shotgun sequence.